rnacentral:tRNA from 1 species
GCCGCAAUAGCUUAAUUGGUAAAGCGCUUAAUUUGUAAUUAAAAAAUUCUGAGUUCAAGUCUCAGUUGUGGCA